UUCACAAAUCAAAACUAAAUUCGAAACGCGCGCCGAACCGGACUAUUUCGCGGAGCAGUACAUGUGCAGUAGCUCCGCCCCCGUAGCCUUCCCUUGUCCUUGGGGGCGCUUUAGUUGUUUGACGGGUGCGCGCGGUUUGUGUGUGUGUGCCAUGAUGUGUUCUACAAUGCUUCGUUACCACGUUUAUCGAUUAUGCACGUUGGUUACGUGAUUCAAUAUCAAGUGUACCUUCCAAGACGAUCUAUGUCCUAGUCUCGUGACUGACGGCGAGUGCGGACGUACAGCAGCCUUUUGACAAGACUGUCGCCGAGUGGAGUGUACGGUACAUUGUGGACUGUAAAGCUGAAGAGUGCACAGUGGAUGCCUGAUUUUGGAACCGAGUGUGAUCGUCUGGGCAGUGUGUUCACUCUGCGGGGAUGAUGGCCAGAGGAAGGAUGAUAGACAGACGACAGCUUGCAGAAGAAGAUGGGAGCGUUCUACCUGUGAGCCUGGUCGAGUUUAUAUUUUAUGGAUACACAUGCAUGGAUACACCAUACAUGGAUUCCCUACAAGGACCCUGCGCAUCAAAAGCAAUCUGUCAUCAAUGUUAAGUAGACAGAUUAAAUGAAACGAAGAUAUGACAGGUGUACACCAUAUUUUUCUUUCAUUUAACCUCUGCAUGUUUCCCAGUCAAUAAAUGUUUUUA